GGCCUAACACAUGCAAGUCGAGCGGAAACGACACUAACAAUCCUUCGGGUGCGUUAAUGGGCGUCGAGCGGCGGACGGGUGAGUAAUGCCUAGGAAAUUGCCUUGAUGUGGGGGAUAACCAUUGGAAACGAUGGCUAAUACCGCAUAAUGCCUACGGGCCAAAGAGGGGGAUCUUCGGACCUCUCGCGUCAAGAUAUGCCUAGGUGGGAUUAGCUAGUUGGUGAGGUAAUGGCUCACCAAGGCGACGAUCCCUAGCUGGUCUGAGAGGAUGAUCAGCCACACUGGAACUGAGACACGGUCCAGACUCCUACGGGAGGCAGCAGUGGGGAAUAUUGCACAAUGGGCGAAAGCCUGAUGCAGCCAUGCCGCGUGUAUGAAGAAGGCCUUCGGGUUGUAAAGUACUUUCAGUUGUGAGGAAGGGUGGUGUAGUUUAAUAGCUG
rnacentral:rRNA from 1 species